AUUGAACGCUGGCGGCAUGCCUUACACAUGCAAGUCGAACGGCAGCACGGGUGCUUGCACCUGGUGGCGAGUGGCGAACGGGUGAGUAAUACAUCGGAACAUGUCCUGUAGCGGGGGAUAGCCCGGCGAAAGCCGGAUUAAUACCGCAUACGAUCUACGGAUGACAGCGGGGGACCUUCGGGCCUCGCGCUAUAGGGUUGGCCGAUGGCUGAUUAGCUAGUUGGUGGGGUAAAGGCCUACCAAGGCGACGAUCAGUAGCUGGUCUGAGAGGACGACCAGCCACACUGGGACUGAGACACGGCCCAGACUCCUACGGGAGGCAGCAGUGGGGAAUUUUGGACAAUGGGCGAAAGCCUGAUCCAGCAAUGCCGCGUGUGUGAAGAAGGCCUUCGGGUUGUAAAGCACUUUUGUCCGGAAAGAAAUCCUUGGCCCUAAUACGGUCGGGGGAUGACGGUACCGGAAGAAUAAGCACCGGCUAACUACGUG
rnacentral:rRNA from 1 species